UUCUGCCUUAUUAUGUAGAGGGAGAAUGUUUGACAAUGCUGUAAUUUGUGGUAACAUGAGAGAUAGAAAAUAUAUCUAACAACCUUGUGUAUUUGGCUCAGGAGGUUUCCAAAGUUAAGAGUCUACUGGUUUCUUUAGGUGUAUAUGACCAUUAAUAGGGUGAAAUGACUUGAGAAGAAACCAUUUAACUUGUAAGCAGUAUCUAGAAUACAAGUCAGCAACACAUUUUCUAAAAUGGGCCAGAUAGUAAUUAUUUUAGGCUUUUCAGGUUGUAUGUUGUCUGUAGCAACUACUCAACUCUGCACUUGUAGCAUGAAAGUGGACACAGACAAUCUUUAAGUGAUUCGAUGUGACUGUGCUCCAAUAAAAAAAGAAAAUUGACUGACAAAAGCAGGUGACAGCCUGUAUUUGACCUGUGGCCCAUAGUUGACCAACCUCUGACCCAGAAAAAACAUUUUCAAAUAAGGGUUUGGUGAGUUGGAACAUAAGUUAUUCUCCUAUUUAUCUCUUCCAGCCCAUAUGAGAUUUUCAGAGUAAAUUAAUACCUGGGGGCAAAGAUAAAAUCCAGAGUGCUGCCACAUUAUGAAGAUCAGUUCAAUAGUGCAGUUGAAAGACUGUUUAACCUUCAUAAAGAUUAAGGAUUUGUCCCUUAGACCCUGUCAGCUAGACAAUGGGAUUUUUAAAAAUCUUAAGGGGCUUGCCUUGUUGACCUUCUUUCUCGCUAGACAGUAAAGUUUUUUUGCCUUGUAGGCCCAUUCAGCUAGAAAAAAAAGGAUUUCAAGAAUCUUAAAGGCAUUGUCCUUACAGCGUCCUGAUUCUAAGCCCUAAGUAGAGAGGAGUGUGUCUUUAAAAUCUGUCAUAAAAUAAGGUAUAGGUACAUAGGAAGUCCAAACAUUUUAACAGAAAUUUUAAGAGCAUGGACUAAAAGGGACUGAGGUAGUACAAAAUGAAAAAGGUCUCAGGUGUUAGUAAUUUCCUAUGAAUAGGACACAAGCUAAGAAAAUUACUCAGCAGCAAACACAUUCUACUUCUUAUAGAAAAGUAACAAUAACAGAGCAGGCAGAGCCAUGAAGAACCAUUCUCAGGGAGUAUAGACCUAAUCAAGAAACAUGGUGUAUCCCUGGAGACAGAGGAAAUGGUAACAUGUCCUGCUAGAUUUCAGAAUUGUUUUGGGCCAGUAACUGCUAUGUUAUUUCAGUUUUACACUUUUAGAGUGAAGGUUUCUAUUGUGCCUGCCAUGUGUUUUCCUCAUUAUUGUAUGUUAGGCAUGUAUGGGACAGAUAAUUAUUGUGUUAGUGUUUCAUUUUUUAGUUUACAGGUGCUCCUGAGGAGCUUGAGGACUCUGUCUCAUCUAUAUCUGGCUCUGAUAUAGGUGAUAAGAGUUUUUGAUAUGAGCUGAUGCCAUAAGGGGAUGGAAAUUUGUAGGGUAAUUGGGAGGUGUUAAGUGUACUUUGUACAUGAAUUGUUAUAGCCAGAAGGCAGAGGCUGGAGUGCCUUUCCAAAUUCCUCCUCCCUUUCUAUAUGCAUGUUACUCCUAAUUCAAGUGGUGGAGUUUAUUGCCCCUUUCCUUGAAUAUGGACUGCCCUUGUAACUAACUUUGAUCAAUCAAAUGGCCAUGAAAUUGGUGAAAUUACUGAUUUGGGACCUAAGAGCCCAGGCUUUAAGAAGAUUGGUGGUAUGGCAGAUCUGAGAUGAGCUACUCAGAUCCUACUUUAGAGAAGAACUUCUUGUUCAGCAGUGAGGAAUGAUGACAACAGAGAGACAUUAAGUGUCGGUUCCUUCAGCAUCUGCCUCAGCUAAAGAGACCCGCCUCACCUCAGGUCAUGCCUUUCCUGAAGACUAAGCAAAGGGAUGUUAUAAAAGGUCUGGACAUUUCGCCUGAUAUGCAACAGAUUUUCAGGUUAACCAACUGCAUCACAGUUGGACUUCUUCCUUUGCCUAAUCCUGCUUCUUCCACAUUUCCCCCUCUCAGGUGUUGAUCAAUAAUAAAUAUUCUGCACCCCAAAAUUCUCAGAAUCUUCUUCUGGAGAAUCCAACCUAUGACAUAUAGGUUCUACUAUCUGACCCUUAGAAUCUGGUAGUCUAUGCUGUGAAAAGCUAUAUCUAUAUCGAAAGGCCAGGUGGAAAAUACUCUGGUGGAUGAAUCCAGCUGAGUGUCUUGUUAAUAGCCACUAUCAAAUGGAAACUAUGUGAAUGAGCCACCUUGGACCUUCCAACCCUGUUGAACUCUAAAUGACUGUUGGACUUCCUGGCAUUAUGUGGAUUAGAAGAACCACACAGUGAAACCAUGGAAAUAUGAACAAUAGAGGUUUAAGCAGAAAUCUUCUAACUCUCCUGGCUUCUUGCAAAUUCAUCUUAUCUCUGGAAAGAGAAAGUUGGAGAAUCCCAGGUUGGAAUACAGACUGUGAUGAAAGAAUCCGACUGUAUUAUAAGCGUAUGAAUAAAACUUCAAAGAAGGACAUAGAGAGGAAAGGUGCUAUGUAAAGAGCUGGAAAUGAGUGGAGCCUAUAAUACUUAAGGAUACAGUAAGUCAGGAGACUAAACCCAGAAGAGGUUCCUCACCAGAACCCAAUCAUGGUGGUACCCUGAUCUUAGACUUCCAGACUUGAAGAAUUUGAAAUGGAAUUAUGAUACCAAAUGGCAUAAGGACAAUACUUUAUGCUGGUAAUUAAAUGGAAGACUACAUAGAAUUCCAUGUUGCUCAGGAAGAUCUGGAUUUAAUAAAAUGGAGGCCUACUGAAGAAGAUUUAGAUAUAUCAGUUAUUAAGUCCCUUAUAUAGGUAUUACUACAUAUGUUUCUACUAGGGUUCUUCUCAUUAGAAGGUACAGAGCUCUAGAGUCAGGACUGUGGGUUUUGAAAUAACCCAUCCUGCAUCCAUAAACAACUUGCCUUGAUGGCUAGCCAAGACUCUGUCCUGCCACAGACCUCCUCCUACUUUCAUUUCUUACCCCAAGGAGCAGUAAACAUGAAUCCUGACCCACUAAUGGAGCCCCAGAACUGAGAAGAGAUACAUUGCUGCUAAACAGGUAGAAAUAAAAACAAUGCCUCUCUUCGAUAAUAUUAAAUGUGCUGGGAAGACAGUCUCCAAGAGAAAGGAUAAAUAAUCUACAUAAUGAAGAAUUAGUUAGCAGUGUUAUGUAAAUAUUGUAGCAGCAUCAAUGAGGAGGAUUAUUUUUGCACCUUUGGAAAGCAACUGAAAAAAGAAGCUUGGAAAAAAUCCUGCCUAACAAAGCAGCCAUACUCAAAUAGCUAAAACUAUAAGAAAGAACUGAUUGAAGAUACAAGAAUAGAUUUAAGAUGAAUUGUGUUGGAAGCUGUGAAUAUAGACCUGUAAGGUAUAGGAAAAUGAAGGACAGCAUCAACACUUCCUUGCUGUCAUUAUUGAUGAAUUCAAUGCCAUCUGGAGUGCUGGCUCUGGCAAUUACUCUGUAACUGUAAGACUUGCUCACCAAAGCCCUUUUAUACAUCUGGAGAGAGCUCUAAGAAGAAAUUACCAAUUGAAAAGGAGUUGCAUUUCAUAUGGAUGUGGGUAUGAUGUGCUGCAGCAAGAUGACGUCUUGAUUAGCAAUGAUGCUAUGCUAGAAAUUGAAGAAGGAGAAUUUGGAAGAUAGACUGUCAUGAAGGGCCAAAGUGCCUGUAAGUAAGAGAAGUUUCAAGACAGGAGAACAAAGACUAAGAGUAAGAUCCAUGGCAGCAGUAAAAACCAGCAACUUUUUGAAAGCAGUUCCACCUAACAAAUCCAUAAGAUCAACCAACCCAUAGUUGCACCUUCAUUGCUAAACAUUUCCACCUGGUGUCUGAGGAAAGCAGAAAUCCGACCCCACUGCCUUCACUCUUCUACCAGUUCCAAAGAGAAAAUAAAAUAGAUGGCUUGAACCAAUUAAAGGACAUCGUGAGUGGAACUGAAAGAAAUGUGUAGGAUGGAUGGAGAUCGCACCAGAAUGUUAACAGCCACAAGAAGACAAAAGGACGGAUGCCUUAUCCUGUGAAUAAACUGGCAGUGUUGAUCUACAGCUGUAUGCAGACCACAUCUUUCUUCCAAAGCUGCAAGGCGCACAUUUAAACUCAAAUCUCAGAGAUUGCAGCACCUAGAUUGCAGUACAAAUUGGUAUGACCAACCAGACCCAGCAACCAUCGAUCUUCAUUCUUUCUGCCACCCUGGAAACUGAAACCUUUUGUAGCAAGAGUUUGGAUGUGGAUAGGAAGAUUGUGUCCAGGAAGCCAAAACCAGAAGAUCAUCUGUUUAAUCCACUCCCAGUCACACAAGACUGCAUUUCUUUGGACUUUGGGGAAUACAAUAGAAGAGUAAAAUGAAGUCUAUGCCUAUAAUAAAUUUGAAAUCUUUGUGGGUCAAAGCUGUGGCAUGAGAAACAAAAUGAAUCCCAUGACAGUCCAUUUCCUCAGAGAAAGAGGGGCCACCUGGGGGCAGUCCGUACUGCGACAUGAGGACCAGAGGAAGGGUCUCUCCAAGUCUCCAGUUCGCUCAAGUCUCUGGAAACUGUUAAAAGCGUUGCUGGAUGUCUCUUCCCCAGAAGCUGUCCUCUGCCUUGUCCGGGUUUGAUCUUCAGUCUGCAUUCAGAAUUAUAGAUGGGUGCCCCUGCCCCAGCUCAUCUUCCAGCCAAGAUGGGGAGAAAUUAAAAUAAAAACAGAAAUAGCUGAAAAACAUUUGGAAUAAUGUUUCCACUUCAGUGGAACUCUACAUGUGCUGUCUUCGGGUCACAGCUUUUAACUCUCUCCUGUGUCCCAAACCUGCAACAGUGCUGAGGAAAGACCGAUUCAUAAAGAGAAUGAAGUAUGCAGCUGAGCAGAAGCAGUAUUGACCGCCUCAACAUGGAGUACCUGUAUUAUCUUCUCAGAUUCUGAUGCCUUUCUUCAUGACUGCAAGCUCUCCAACAGUUGUCUGAUGAGGAAUCCAAGAAAUAUUUUUUAUCUCAGUCAAAACUCAUCAGUACCGUCAUAUCUGACUCCUCAAGAAUUCCUCCUUCUUCACUUAGAAGCCCCAAUGCUAGGAAGAUAUGAGAGUUCUUUGGAACUGUCUUAAGUCACCAACCCAAACUGGAUCAUUCAG